CAGAAUCCUGUCUCGGAGCUCUAUGGACAAUUCCUUCGACCUCAUGGCUUAGUUUUUGCUCUGAAAUACACUGUCAACUGUGGGACCUUAUAUAGACAGGUGUGUGCCUUUCCAAAUCAUGUCCAGUCAAUUGAAUUUACCACAGGUGGAUUCCAAUCAAGAUGUAGAAACAUCUCAAGGAUGAUCAAUGGAAACAGGAUGCACCUGAGCAUUGUAGGUUUAUGUCAAUGUUAAAAUUAGACAUGUUUGAGUUAAGACAAACAUUCUUACCACGGGGCAAAGUUAUACGUUGUGUGUGAGUUCACAUGUAUCACUCAAUGACUGUCUGUUCUUCUGCUUACCACUACAGUGUGGAACAUGGUGGAGAGAAGACAAUGAAACCUGGGCUUAGAAAAUAUGCCUGUGAUCUCACACUGGACCCAAACACAGUAAAUAGACUCCUCUCUCUGUCUGAGGGGAACAGAAAUGUGACAUGGAGUACAGAGGACCAGCCGUACCCUGAUCACCCAGAGAGGUUUGAGGUCUGGGAACAGGAGCUGUGUAGAGAGGGUCUGACUGGGCCCUGUUACUGGGAGGUAGAGUGGAGUGGGAUAAAGGCUGAUAUAGGAGUGACAUAUAUAACGGAAUCAGCAGGAGAGGAAGGGGUAAUGAUAGUAGGCUUGGAUGGAAUAACAAGUCCUGGAGUCUGGUCUGCUCUGACAACAGUAACAAAGCCUGACACAAUAAUAAUCACACGACCAUAGCCGUCCCCUCCUCCAGCUCCCACAGAGUUGGAGUGUAUCUGGACUGGCCAGCCGGCACUCUGUCCUUCUACAGAGUCUCCUCUGACACACUGACCCACCUGAACACAUUCACCUCCACGUUCACUGAGCCCCUCUAUCCAGGGUUUAGGGUUUGGUUUGAAGACUCCUCAGUGUCCCUGUGUCAGGUGGUCCCUGUGUAAAACACAACAUGAUGUUUCACUCUAAUAGUCAUGUUCAGUAAGACACACUGGAACAACAAUGUAGAAUAUCUCUCUAGUGUGUAAACAUAUGAUAGUAAAUAUUCAUGAAUAAACGCCAUUGAAGUUGACAGAUAUUGUCAACUAGAGUCAUUUAUUAAUAGAAUGAAUCACCACACUGUGUUGUAAAACCUGGUUUCAUUUACAAAUCACUGAUCUUGUUGUUAUUGGGCUUCUUGGUGUUUGUAAAUAUUGUUGUCUGUAGAAUGUUUAUUUGUCAAAUUAUUGACACAACAAUCUUGUUUGUGUUUAAACUCAAUUCCACUGAAUGAAAUGUACAUGUGACAGAUUUGACUAAUAAAGGUUAAUCAACCAGA